CCCUUAGAUGUCCUGGGCCGCACGCGCGUUACACUAAUGCAUUCAACGAGCUUAUAACCUUGGCCGAGAGGCCUGGGCAAUCUUGUUAACGUGCAUCGUGAUAGGGAUAGAUUAUUGAAAUUAUUAAUCUUGAACGAGGAAUUCCUAGUAAACGCAGAUCAUCAAUCUGCAUUGAUUACGUCCCUGCCCUUUGUACACACCGCCCGUCGCACCUACCGAUUGGAUGGUCCGGUGAAGCCUCGGGAUUGUGGUUCUUGCCGCUUUAUUGUGGCGUGACCGCGAGAACUUGUCUAAACCUUAUCAUCUAGAGGAAGGUGAAGUCGUAACA
rnacentral:rRNA from 1 species